ACCUUUUGACAUGCCUGGACCGCCACGGAGACGUGGCUUUCCCUUCGGGGACUAGGACACAGGUGCUGCAUGGCUGUCGUCAGCUCGUGUCGUGAGAUGUUGGGUUAAGUCCCGCAACGAGCGCAACCCUCGCCAUUAGUUGCCAUCAUUUAGUUGGGAACUCUAAUGGGACUGCCGGUGCUAAGCCGGAGGAAGGUGGGGAUGACGUCAAGUCCUCAUGGCCCUUACAGGGUGGGCUACA
rnacentral:rRNA from 1 species